rnacentral:lncRNA from 1 species
AAACCAACGAGAACGGGGACAGAGAACCGUCAUGCUCCAAAACCUGCAGUCAUCUCGGUUCAGUCAGAUGCAGAAGGCCAACAGCACAGUACUCAGGUAAUAAAGCAUCCCAUCCGUGCCUCCUGCCCUGCAGGGCCGUGCCACUCCAUCCCCAGCAGCCCGCACCGGUGUGACACCGCAGCUCCACCUGCUCUGACCACAUCUCCACAGCACUUCCAGAGGUGGAACUGCACCGGCC